rnacentral:tRNA from 1 species
GGCCGGAUGGUCUAGGGGUAUGAUUCUUGCUUCGGGUGCGAUAGGUCCGGGUUCGAAUCCCGGUUCAGCCC